rnacentral:rRNA from 1 species
UGGGGAAUAUUGGACAAUGGGCGCAAGCCUGAUCCAGCCAUGCCGCGUGGAUGACGAAGGCCCUAGGGUUGUAAAGUCCUUUCGCACGCGACGAUGAUGACGGUAGCGUGAGAAGAAGCCCCGGCCAACUUCGUGCCAGCAGCCGCGGUAAUACGAAGGGGGCUAGCGUUGUUCGGAAUCACUGGGCGUAAAGGGCGCGUAGGCGGCCACCCAAGUCAGGCGUGAAAGCCCCGGGCUCAACCUGGGAACCGCGCUUGAGACUGGUUGGCUCGAGUUCCGGAGAGGUGGGUGGAAUUCCCCAGUGUAGAGGUGAAAUUCGUAGAUAUUGGGAAGAACACCGGUGGCGAAGGCGGCCCACUGGACGGACACUGACGCUGAGGCGCGAAAGCGUGGGGAGCAAACAGGAUUAGAUACCCUGGUAGUCCACGCCGUAAACGAUGUCGGCUAGGCGCUGGGUUCCCUAGGAACUCGGUGCCGCAGCUAACGCAUUAAGCCGACCGCCUGGGGGAGUACGGCCGCAAGGUUGAAACUUAAAUGAAUUGACGGGGUCAUAGCUGUUUCCU